rnacentral:lncRNA from 1 species
GCAGUUGCAGCGUGGCGAGACAAAAAGUGUAUUGAACAUGAUGCAUAUGAGCAGUAAGACAACGCGCCACAGAGCCCUAAUCCUACACUUCCUCGCCCCCCACAACCCGGAAAAAACUAGUGCCUCAAUCCUCUUCCUCGGCAUCCUGGUCUGCGAUGUUGAAGUACCGCAAUUCGUACACAUUCCUGUCCUUGUUGGAUGCAAUCACCCGGAGCCAGUCCCUCACAUUGUGCUUCUUCAAGUACUUCUUCGUCAAAUAUUUCAAGUACCUGCAAGCUCCACGCCCGAGAUGGUACGUCAUGAGAAAUAUGAAACCUCCUUAGACAUCGGAACUCUUACCUUCCUAUGACACAGAUUUCUAACUAUUGAUCCAGAAUCAAGAGGUCGAUACAGAGGGGAUCCAUAGUGCCUGAAUCUAGUGCGAAAGUCAUAUCAAACAACCCAAACCGCACUAACUUCAGUGCCAGAGAUCUUCCAUUGUUCUGGAAUCCGCUAUCAACAUGCAUUGAGGUACACGUGUAUUGAUCAGGGUUCCUUCCAAGCCCUACAGAUUGUCGCAAACCCGUACAUUAAAACGCCGAAAAAUUCUAGGUUGCCAUGAGAGAUACAAGUGUGCGUAUGACGGAUAGACAAUGUCCUGGCACCCUGUGAAAAACUCUGUUGAAAAGCCUAUAGUCAUGAUAAAGACUACAUAGUCCAUGAAUUUUGAAAUCUAGUUCACAAGAAGCCCGAAUUAGUCAUUCGAAUUGCAUUUAUCUUCUUUUGAAGAUGACACGUUGAGGGAAAAAUCAGUUUUUUCCCAGCUGAAGUGAAAAAAAUUAUUUCUUAAAAAAGCCAUAUCUCAGUAGCCAAAUGAACAGUGAUAAAUUACUCGACGUGUUAGAGUAAGGAACAAGAUAGUUACGAUGUUAUUGGAACGCUUGUGUGUCACUUGAUGAGAGCGCAGAAAUUAUCUCAUACAAAAUGAAGAUGCACAUGAAAAUACAAGAGCUAGAGGGAAUGCUAAGAAGGAACGAAGGACGGGGACGGAUUGGCGCACCUCUUGGAGAAGGAGCUCUCGGAGGAGACGCUGAUCUUAUUCUUCUCGCGGGAGAUGGAGACAGCGCUGCCGAGCACGCCAGCCUUGCCGUCGACCUUGAUGCGGUCGUUGAGGAACUUCUCGAAGGAGGCGAUGUCCAUGAUCUUGUCCUCGACAGGCUUGCCACAGUCAAUGGUGAAGGUCUGGGCCUUCUUCUUCCCCUUCACGGGAGCCACCUUCUUGGGAACAGCCAUGGCCGGCAGAGAGGGGAGAGGAGCAGGAGGAAGAAGGGUAAAAGAGUAGGAGGAGGCUGUCGCACAGCAGCAAGGCUGCGCAGCGAGGCAGAAGAGGA